CGCUUCUUUUUCCACCGGAGCUUGCUCCACCGGAAAAAGAGGAGUGGCGAACGGGUGAGUAACACGUGGGUAACCUGCCCAUCAGAAGGGGAUAACACUUGGAAACAGGUGCUAAUACCGUAUAACAAUCGAAACCGCAUGGUUUUGAUUUGAAAGGCGCUUUCGGGUGUCGCUGAUGGAUGGACCCGCGGUGCAUUAGCUAGUUGGUGAGGUAACGGCUCACCAAGGCGACGAUGCAUAGCCGACCUGAGAGGGUGAUCGGCCACAUUGGGACUGAGACACGGCCCAAACUCCUACGGGAGGCAGCAGUAGGGAAUCUUCGGCAAUGGACGAAAGUCUGACCGAGCAACGCCGCGUGAGUGAAGAAGGUUUUCGGAUCGUAAAACUCUGUUGUUAGAGAAGAACAAGGAUGAGAGUAACUGUUCAUCCCUUGACGGUAUCUAACCAGAAAGCCACGGCUAACUACGUGCCAGCAGCCGC
rnacentral:rRNA from 1 species